rnacentral:tRNA from 5 species
UCGGAUAUGGUGUAGUGGCUAACAUACGACGCUCUCACCGUCGUGCCCGGGGUUCGAUUCCCCGUAUCCGAG